CGGUCCAGGCCUGCUGCGGCGCGAUGAAGUGGAUGUGGGUGUCCACCCCCCCCGCCGUGAGGAUGUGCCCCUCGCCCGCCACGAUCUCGGUGCUCGCCCCGAUGGUCAGCCCCGGCAUGACCCCGGUCUGGAUGCCGGGGUUACCUGCCUUCCCGAUGGCGCAGAUGCGCCCGUCCCGGACGCCCACGUCGGCCUUGACGACGCCCCAGUGGUCGAGGAUGACCGCGUUCGUGAUGACCAGGUCGGGCACAUUCGGGUCGGCGCGCGUGGCGGUGCUGCUCUGGCCCAGGCCG
rnacentral:sRNA from 1 species